UACGGAGGGUGCAAGCAUUAAUCGGAUUUAUUGGGCGUAAAGGGCGUGUAGGCGGCAGAGUAAGUCAGAUGUGAAAUCUUGGGGCUUAACCUCAAAAUAGCAUUUGAAACUACUCAGCUAGAGGGUAGAAGGGGAAAACAGAAUUCCACAAGUAGCGGUGAAAUGCGUAGAUAUGUGGAGGAAUACCGGUGGCGAAGGCGGUUUUCUAUUUUAUUCCUGACGCUGAGGCGCGAAAGCAAGGGGAGCAAAC
rnacentral:rRNA from 1 species